UCCCCGUUAUCCUGGGCAGUCCUUUCAGAGUGCUCGGCAUUACCCGCUGGCAACUAAAGGCAGGGGUUGCGCUCGUUGCGGCACUUAAGCCAACACCUCACGGCACGAGCUGACGACAGCCAUGCAGCACCUGUGCUAGCCCCUUACGGACACGGGCUUUCACCCGCUUUAACUAGCAUGUCAAGCCUAGGUAAGGUUCUUCGCGUUGCAUCGAAUUAAGCCACAUGCUCCGCCGCUUGUGCGGGCCCCCGUCAAUUCCUUUGAGUUUCAGUCUUGCGACCGUACUCCCCAGGCGGAGUGCUUAAUGUGUUGACUUCGGCACAGCAGGGGUCGAUACCCGCGACACCGAGCACCCAUCGUUUACAGCGUGGACUAC
rnacentral:misc_RNA from 1 species